AUGGAGUGGAGGGGAGGGCACCAGUGCACUCUCUUUUUUCCCGCCGUCGUGACCCUGUUCGGUUCUGCUCUCCUUUUACUUGCAGGAUCCACAGUCAGAUAAGACUGUGGGAAAGAGAAGAACGGUGGCAUUUGUAUCUUCUAUGACCUCAGCGAUGCCCAUCAGGAGUGAGUAAAGUGGUGUAAACAAAGGAAAACGAGGAAACACGCUGAUGUUUGUUAUCUGUGCAGUCUUCAGUUGGACCUGAGCUGAAUGUGGUUAAUCUGCUGUCCUUGGGGC